AUUCAACCUGACAGAGCUUGAGAGGAUCUGCAGAGAAUGGGAGAAACUCCCCAAAUACAGAUCUAUCCGCUGCCUUUGACACUGUGAACCAUCGGAUCCUCCACCGUCACAGAGCUGGGCAUCUCAGGCUUUGCACAAUGUUGGAUUGCAUCCUACCGGACAGGCCGCUAGUACCAGGAGACGUGGAGAGGAUCUGUGUCUGCACCACGUGCUCUCACCACUGCCUUGGCAGGUAGCGACACAAGUCUCGACAAGACGGAGCUCCUCUUCCUCCCGGGGAAGGCCUGCCUCCACUAAGACCUCUCUCUCCAUCACGGUUGACAACUCCACAGUGUCCACUUCCCAGAAUGCAAAGAGCUUUGGCGUGACCCUGGACAUUUACAUUUACAUUUAAGUCAUUUAGCAGACGCUCUUAUCCAGAGCGACUUACAAAUUGGUGCAUUCACC